rnacentral:rRNA from 1 species
UGCAGUCGAACGGCAGCACGGGAGCAAUCCUGGUGGCGAGUGGCGAACGGGUGAGUAAUAUAUCGGAACGUGCCCAGUCGUGGGGGAUAACGCAGCGAAAGCUGUGCUAAUACCGCAUACGAUCUAUGGAUGAAAGCGGGGGACCGUAAGGCCUCGCGCGAUUGGAGCGGCCGAUAUCAGAUUAGCUUGUUGGUGGGGUAAAAGCCCACCAAGGCGACGAUCUGUAGCUGGUCUGAGAGGACGACCAGCCACACUGGAACUGAGACACGGUCCAGACUCCUACGGGAGGCAGCAGUGGGGAAUUUUGGACAAUGGGCGCAAGCCUGAUCCAGCAAUGCCGCGUGCAGGAUGAAGGCCUUCGGGUUGUAAACUGCUUUUGUACGGAACGAAACGGCUCUUUCUAAUAAAGAGGGCUAAUGACGGUACCGUAAGAAUAAGCACCGGCUAACUACGUGCCAGCAGCCGCGGUAAUACGUAGGGUGCGAGCGUUAAUCGGAAUUACUGGGCGUAAAGCGUGCGCAGGCGGUUAUAUAAGACAGAUGUGAAAUCCCCGGGCUCAACCUGGGACCUGCAUUUGUGACUGUAUAGCUAGAGUACGGUAGAGGGGGAUGGAAUUCCGCGUGUAGCAGUGAAAUGCGUAGAUAUGCGGAGGAACACCGAUGGCGAAGGCAAUCCCCUGGACCUGUACUGACGCUCAUGCACGAAAGCGUGGGGAGCAAACGGGAUUAGAUACCCUGGUAGUCCACGCCCUAAACGAUGUCAACUGGUUGUUGGGUCUUCACUGACUCAGUAACGAAGCUAACGCGUGAAGUUGACCGCCUGGGGAGUACGGCCGCAAGGUUGAACUCAAGGAAUUGACGGGACCCGCACA